rnacentral:rRNA from 1 species
CUUUACUGUAGCCUGGAAUUGGGUUCGGGCUUCGCUUGCGCAGGAUAGGUGGGAGACUAUGAAGCUGCCCUUGUGGGGGCAGUGGAGUCAUCAGUGAGAUACCACUCUGUCAAGGCUAGAAUUCUAACCGUCUGGCGUUAUCCGGCGACGGAACAGUAUCAGGUGGGCAGUUUGACUGGGGCGGUCGCCUCCUAAAUGGUAGCGGAGGCGCGCAAAGGUUCCCUCAGGCUGGUUGGAAAUCAGCCGAAGAGUGUAAAGGCAGAAGGGAGCUUGACUGCAAGAGCAACAACUCAAGCAGGGACGAAAGUCGGCCUUAGUGAUCCGACGGCGCUGAGUGGAAGGGCCGUCGCUCAACGGAUAAAAGUUA